rnacentral:rRNA from 1 species
AGAACGAACGCUGGCGGCAUGCCUAACACAUGCAAGUCGGACGCUUUCGGGGGUUUCGGCCUCCGAGGGAGUGGCGGACGGGUGAGUAGCGCGUGGGAACCUGCCCCUUUGUGGGGGAUAACCGAGGGAAACUUCGGCUAAUACCGCAUGCGCCCGGGGGUAACUCCGGGGAAAGAUUUAUCGCAGAGGGAGGGGCCCGCGUCGGAUUAGGUAGUUGGUGGGGUAACGGCCUACCAAGCCGGUGAUCCGUAGCUGGUCUGAGAGGAUGAUCAGCCACACUGGGACUGAGACACGGCCCAGACUCCUACGGGAGGCAGCAGUGGGGAAUAUUGGACAAUGGGGGCAACCCUGAUCCAGCAAUGCCGCGUGAGUGAUGAAGGCCUUAGGGUUGUAAAGCUCUUUCGCCCGCGACGAUGAUGACGGUAGCGGGAGAAGAAGCCCCGGCUAACUUCGCGCCAGCAGCCGC